rnacentral:rRNA from 1 species
UACGUAGGGUGCAAGCGUUGUCCGGAAUUAUUGGGCGUAAAGAGCUCGUAGGCGGUCUGUUGCGUCGGCUGUGAAAACCCGGGGCUCAACUCCGGGCCUGCAGCCGAUACGGGCAGACUAGAGUUCGGCAGGGGAGACUGGAAUUCCUGGUGUAGCGGUGAAAUGCGCAGAUAUCAGGAGGAACACCAGUGGCGAAGGCGGCCAACUGGUCCGGUACUGACGCUGAGACGCGAAAGCGUGGGGAGCGAACAGG